ACUACUCGAUUCGUCAAAAAAAUCAGAAAAUAUGCCAAACAGGAUAAUGAGGACGCACUGGCGAUAAUUUCCCAGAAGCCUUGUAACACGGAAUCGGCCAAAAAAAGUCCCAUGCACUGCUUUGUUGAAAAAAAUAAUAAAAAAUCUUACCAAUCGAUGAAUACGAUCACUUACUCCAGGUCAGCGACCCGUUAAACUAUCCAUCGUAUUUAAAUGAGGACUUAAGAUACUCUGCAAGGGAUAGCUUCUAACCCUGUCGAAUAGAGAGAAAAGGGUCACCCCAGACAAGGCUUUGAUGAAGCCGAAAAAAAAGAGAAGCCUCCCGUGGAAGAUCUUGUCAUGUAUUUCUUAGUAAAGAUUUAAUUUGUAUCGAAGAACAAUAGAUGUUUGGCAAAAAGUCCUUAAAUGUACCCCUUGGCUCAUUAAGGAUAAGUAGCUGCACUAAGUUACGGUUCUUGCUUUUUUUAGUAGUAAGGACCACUAUAUACCGUUCUUUAUCUUCACGUAGGGCUUGAAACUAAACUCAAAUGUCUACAUCACUAAUCUACGCACCAAAGCCUUCUCCUGGAUACGCACCAUCAUGAAAGACCGACUGCGGAUCUGACAGCAAGACAUGACAACAAUAUAAAAUCAAAUGUAACUUUUAUUUGGAAUCACCUUUAAUAUUGAGUAUGGAAGAAAUACCUCUUAUUAAAACCACCUGGAAGGACGACUUUUUUAAGGGCAUAUCUAUAACAUAGUUAUGAGAUUGUUAGUUCCUACUAGUGGUGGGACGAUUAAUUGGAAUCGGAUAAUAGGGUGUUUUUUUCUGGAAUCGACAUUAGGAAAAUAGUGUAUGAUUUGCGAUUCUGAUUCUUAUGUAUUAUUAUUUAUUACUGUCAAGAUAUGAAAACAACAGUGUGAAUUUGGGAUCUAGAAAAGCUUGCAUUUUCAAAAUUUGAAUAAAGGCUCGGAAAAUAUCAAUACUUUGGAACUGGUCAAAACUUGGGAUUUUCUGUUUUACUUUUUCAAGCCCAUUAUAACAUGUAAAUCUUCCAAUACUGACUUCCUUUCUCUGUGAAAUUUAGAAUUUAUGUUCUUCCAUAGGCAACACUUUCUAGAAAUUUUUUGACUUUUUUAUGCAAUGUGUACGCUUAAUCCUAGUUCUUUUGAAGAGUAA
rnacentral:lncRNA from 1 species